CACACCGCCCGUCACGCCAUGGGAGUUGGUUUUACCUUAAGCCGGUGCGCUAACCGCAAGGAAGCAGCCGUCCACGGUAGGGUCAGCGACUGGGGCGAAGUCGUAACAAGGUAACCGUAGGGGAACCUGCGGUUGGAUCACCUCCUUU
rnacentral:rRNA from 1 species